AAAUUCGAAAAGAAAGCUGCUUCUUCACAAGUUGCAUUUGGUUUUGGAGCGGCAUCGGCAUCAUCUUCGUUUAAAAUAUUUGGUGGAAUUUCCAAAGGUAAAGUUCCUACUCCAGGAUUGAGAGAAGAGUAAGAAUACAAAGAACCAUGGGAUUAUUACAGUUAUUAUCCCCUGACCCUUCCUAUGAGGAGACCAUAUUCGGGAAUUCCAGGUUUGUUG